AUGCUUGCUUCACCAGCACAUACACUAAAAUUGGAACGGUACAGAGAAGAUUAGCAUAGUCCCUGUACAAGGAUGAGAUGCAAAAGAAUGCUACCAUUCACAAAAUU
ensembl:snRNA U6 U6 spliceosomal RNA